rnacentral:rRNA from 1 species
UCCAGACUCCUACGGGAGGCAGCAGUGGGGGAUAUUGCACAAUGGGGGGAACCCUGAUGCAGCGACGCCGCGUGGGUGAAGGAGCGUUUCGGCGCGUAAAGCCCUAUCGGCAGGGAAGAAGGAGGACGGUACCUGACUAAGAAGCCCCGGCUAACUACGUGCCAGCAGCCGCGGUAAUACGUAGGGGGCAAGCGUUAUCCGGAUUUACUGGGUGUAAAGGGAGCGCAGGCGGCGCGCCAAGUCUGAUGUGAAACCCCGGGGCUCAACCCCGGGCAUGCAUUGGAAACUGGCGGGCUGGAGUGCCGGAGAGGUAAGCGGAAUUCCUAGUGUAGCGGUGAAAUGCGUAGAUAUUAGGAGGAACACCAGUGGCGAAGGCGGCUUACUGGACGGCAACUGACGCUGAGGCUCGAAAGCGUGGGGAGCAAACAGGAUUAGAUACCCUUGUAA